CAACUUUUGUAUGAAGCAAUCUUGGCUGAAUGCGAUGGCUCCCAGUGCAGGGAGGGCUCGGCUCAGCGCUGCUGCGGAAUGGAAGACUGCCGCUCGCCUGCCCUUCUGUCUCUCGUCUCGGCAUGGUGACAUGGUUUGAGAGUCUUACCUGGCUCUCUUCAGCUAAACAGUCUUCAGGACCCUAAAGAUGCAGAGGGAAGGAUUAUGAAGAACGGCUGUGCAAUGGUGAGUAUUCAGGCACCCAAUCCAUUAUCCUGUCAACAACAGCAGGUCCCUGCCACAGUUAGCAGCAACACUGGCCGUAAUGAAAUCAUCAGUAAUCCCAAAACUCAUCUUAUCAUACCCAAGGUACAAGUUCUUAUCUUUUCUCGGACUGUAUGAUACCAUGACAAAACAGUUAAACAACAGGCUGUGGACACCAGUGGAAGACACAGGCUGUAGUCUUCAACAGUGAAUUACCUGUAGUACAUUUGCCUGCAGGUAAUGGAAUAUGACUUACCUUUAAUGGUGAAGAAACUCAAAGAAAUGGAUAUAUGGAUUAUCAGUGAGAAAACUGAUUUCAUUUUUACACUGUCAAAUGCUGAAACCAUUUCAUUUCAGCUCUACUUUUCAGUUCCUGUAUCAAAUUUGCUGGGAAAUUAAAAACAGGAAUCUUUAAAAACAAGAAUCUCAUGUUUAUAAUCGUAUUGAAAUGUGAACUGCGGGAAGAUUUUUAUUUAUUUAUUUUUUAUUUUUUUGACAAACACGAUAAUUUGAUUGAUUUAGAUGGCUAACUGGAAAUUAAUUCGUCUAACGUAUUUGAGUAUAGUGGCUUUGAGUCCCACUUUUUAUUAAAUCGAUAUUAGGUAAUUGUCUUCUGCAAGUGAUUGAGUAAAAGAGCUUAAGCGCGGUUUACAAACUUGCUGAGAAUGAACAUUGUCUUGUAAUAUUAAUCUAUUUAAAGCCGGUUUAUCAUUACAUCUUUUAUGAUUUAUAUAGUUUGUUUCGAUUGCAAAAAUGUUAAGAAUUAACUUUUUAUUUUUAUUUUAACGGAUUUUUCUUUUAAUAAAUCCGUUAUAAGGAAAAUGUGUAAUUUGACACCGACAAGUAGCACGUUUUCUUUCUUUCUUCACGUAUUAGUAACUCAAAAUACCUAAAAUAAAUUAAAUAAGUUAGGUGAAAAUAGCGUUGCCCUUUUUAAAUAGGCUAAAUCAGUUUUAGCACAGAUGGUUUAAUUUUAAAGAGCGAACUCAUAUGCUUCAAAUUAAAAACAGGAUAUCAUUCCAAUAGUUCGCAGUGACAUCUGAAAGAAGGUCAAACUCAAGCCUCUUUCUUUAAUUGACCAGUGAAUAUUUUUUUACCAGUGUCAGAACCAGAGGGGAUGCAACCAUUCAGCAAAAUACAAUAGGAAUAACAGACCGUGCUGAAAAUGCAUCUUCAUUUGCAUAUUCGGUUCAAAAAUCAUGCAAAUCCCAAUGAGACGGUCUUUAUUGUGCCUGCAAUGGAUAAUCAUUCUGUUAUCCAUGGUAACUCUGGCCUUAUUCGUAGCCAGUGAGUUGAAACAAAAAGUUAUUAAUUCAUAUGGCAAGACGUGUAAAUGGACUCCGGAGCCAUGGUUAAUGGUUCGGCGAAAUAUACCUAUUUGAUCUCAUUAAAAAGGUCUUGUACCACCAUGAUGGCACAGUUACUGGUCCACCCCACUUCUAUAUUUAAAUGGAUUGAGCUCAACAAAACAGGGACACUGAGCCCCCCUCUUACCGGGAUCAUCUGUCUGCCUGGUGGACGAGCUGCGUCCUGCCCACUGCACCCAAUUCACAUAGAAAUUUACUCAAAUACUACAGAUCCGCUCAUUAAAAGCCAAGAGCAAAGGUAGCGUGCGGCAGCCAUUGUGGCCGAUCGGAACCCGAAGCACCCUCCAAUAAGCAGGAGAGCAGCAUCGUAGGCACUGCAGCACCCCACUUCAAACCUACCAAAACCCCAUUUUCAGGCCCCACAGCUGCCCUGGCUCUGCAAGAGCACUUAGCCAUGUCAUUCUAUCUGCCUCUCCGGACCAGAGGACACAGGCGUAGUUUUGUGUGCCGCUGUCUCUGAUAUGACUCCAGAAAUGGAAAUGAGGCCAUGGAUCUUCAUUAGAAGAAGCAGGUGUCCUCUGGCCUGCCCAGGUGAAGACGCUGGGAGGAAUGGGCAAGGGGGGAAGGGGCUCAUCACGAUGGCUGGCAGCCCUCGUUUUGGCCCCUUAUCCUCAUCCCCCUCCCCCCACGACACUUAAUUGCCCGUGUAAUGAGCUACUGUUGAAUGGGCUUACUUGUGUGGAGGUACUUGAGGAGCUAUGCAUUAGGGGUACCUCCUGCAGCUCCUAAUCUCAGAGCCCAUAUACAGAGAGCGCCGCGAAUGAAACGCCAGAGAGAAAGACACUCACCUCUCCUCUGCAUCAUUCUUGUUUGCAUUCGCCCCCACCUCCGUCCCCUCUGCUUUGUUUCCAGGUUCAUGCUGGUGAAAUUAACAGGGCUUUGAAACCUGUGGAAGCGAGGCAGCCAUAAAGGCCCUUCAAGGCAUAUGAGGAUCCUGGAGAGUGAGAAGUUUUCUUGUGACAGGACACCUGUUUCUG
ensembl:lncRNA